rnacentral:tRNA from 1 species
UCCUUGAUAUCUCAGCUGGUAAAGAAUCCACCUGCAAUGUGGGAGACCUGGGUUCAAUCCCUGGGUUGGGAA